AUGUUGCGUUAGGGAUAGAGGCGACAUCCUUUUUUAUCACAACUUUUCGACUGUGCUCAAAGGGACAAAAAAGAUAUAGCCGAAAGCCCGGUCGUGA
rnacentral:sRNA from 1 species